rnacentral:tRNA from 1 species
GGGGACUUAGCUCAGUGGUAGAGCGCUUGCCUAGCAAGCGCAAGGCCCUGGCUUCGGUCCCCA